AUACCUUUCUCAGCCCUUUGGCUACGAUAAAGUGCAGUAUUUGUAGUUUAAUAUCUGGUAUGUGUGCAUAUGUCCACUUUAAUUUUAAAUUAAAUUUUUUGUGGGAGGGUCCACUUUAAUUUUAAAAAAAUAUUGUGGAGGGUCCAUCACACUGGCUUGCCAUUGAACCCUCAGGUAUCGUACAACUGUUGCAAUAUAUCAUUAAAUAUGAUUGGUAUACCAUCG
rnacentral:snRNA from 1 species